rnacentral:rRNA from 1 species
AGUGAACGCUGGCGGUAGGCCUAACACAUGCAAGUCGAACGGCAGCACAGUAAGAGCUUGCUCUUACGGGUGGCGAGUGGCGGACGGGUGAGGAAUACAUCGGAAUCUACUUUUUCGUGGGGGAUAACGUAGGGAAACUUACGCUAAUACCGCAUACGACCUACGGGUGAAAGCAGGGGAUCUUCGGACCUUGCGCGAUUGUAUGAGCCGAUGUCGGAUUAGCUAGUUGGCGGGGUAAAGGCCCACCAAGGCGACGAUCCGUAGCUGGUCUGAGAGGAUGAUCAGCCACACUGGAACUGAGACACGGUCCAGACUCCUACGGGAGGCAGCAGUGGGGAAUAUUGGACAAUGGGCGCAAGCCUGAUCCAGCCAUACCGAGUGGGUGAAGAAGGCCUUCGGGUUGUAAAGCCCUUUUGUUGGGAAAGAAAAGCAGCAGGUUAAUACCCCGCUGUUCUGACGGUACCCAAAGAAUAAGCACCGGCUAACUUCGUG